rnacentral:rRNA from 1 species
UACAGAGGUCCCGAGCGUUGUUCGGAUUCACUGGGCGUAAAGGGUGCGUAGGUGGUGAGGUAAGUCGGAUGUGAAAUCCCCGGGCUUAACCCGGAAACUGCAUUGGAAACUACCUUGCUAGAGGUUUUGAGGGGGGAUGGAAUUCCGCGUGUAGCAGUGAAAUGCGUAGAUAUGCGGAGGAACACCGAUGGCGAAGGCAAUCCCCUGGACCUGUACUGACGCUCAUGCACGAAAGCGUGGGGAGCAAACAGG